rnacentral:rRNA from 1 species
UACGUAGGUGGCAAGCGUUGUCCGGAAUUAUUGGGCGUAAAGCGCGCGCAGGCGGUUCUUUUAAGUCUGAUGUGAAAGCCCACGGCUCAACCGUGGAGGGUCAUUGGAAACUGGGGAACUUGAGUACAGAAGAGGAAAGCGGAAUUCCACGUGUAGCGGUGAAAUGCGUAGAGAUGUGGAGGAACACCAGUGGCGAAGGCGGCUUUCUGGUCUGUAACUGACGCUGAGGCGCGAAAGCGUGGGGAGCAAACAGG